rnacentral:lncRNA from 1 species
AAGGCUACUUUGUGGUUUAUGUUGGAGAAAACCAGAAGAGGUUUGUGAUACCGGUGUCGUUCUUGAACCAGCAAUUAUUUCAAGAUUUGCUAGGCAAGUCAGAAGAAGAGUUCGGAUAUAGUCAUCCUACAGGCGGCCUCACGAUUCCCUGCAACGAAAACACCUUUCUUGAAGUUACCUCUCGUUUGUACUAAUUGUGAGAUGAUUAACAGAAACCAGGCAAUACAAUUUUGUAAAGUAAACAUCACUAAUACAUGUAAACAUUUUUUUCUCCAUCCUUUUUGCCUUGGGAAGCUGAUUAAAUCUCCCCAAGUGGAAAACUAGAGAUGGUGGUUAGCGUAACACUCCAAUAAAUCAGUAAUGACAGUUCCAAACAUAUCAUUCAGUUGUCAUUUCAUUUCCUUUCUGAAUUUUUUACUUGCUCGCGUUAAUUCCAUCUUUAAUAUAAACUGUAAAUGAUCUACCUUGUUCUAAAAUUACUUUCAAACAUGAGUGCAUGCUAAGUUAUUUGGAGUCGGACCCCUCAUUUUCUUUCGAUUGCAUGUGUCCAACACAAAUUCAAACAUGAGCACAAAGUUCGGGUAAGAUAGACUACAAGUAUCCUUUUGCAUGGUAGUAGCUUAUUAAAGGAUCCAUUUCGUGUUACAAAUUUCAAAGUAAUUUUCUUAAUGCGGAUUUGAUAAAGAAUUAAGAUAUGUAAAGACGUGAAGCAAGGGACUAAGAGGUUAAUAUAACAAAGCUAAUAACAAAAUAUUUUAAAUAAAAAAGAGAAGAGUAAAAGAGAUGCAAGUUCGUGAUGCAUAUUGAUUAGUAUUAUGAGAAAGUACACUUCAUUCUUGUUACUUGUUUGGUUUUAUAUUUUAAUGGUUAAUCAACAUUGGUAAAAUUCAAUAAAUUUUCAAAUACUCUAAACUCCAGUCAUGUAUAUGGAAACAAAUAUACAAAUGACUGAAUGUAAAAUCAAAUAGCUUUUUGACCAUUUUGAGAUAAGAGUAAGAGGACUACAAACUCCUAUUUCAUUUAUAUAUUUUUUGCAUCAGCUAUUAAGAAGCCUUAGAGAUGAACAUAUUCUACCCUUGCAACUUUUCCCAGUUCAUAAGAGUUAUGUGUUUGUGAGUACCUGCACUUGUUCAGACUAAGCAGAUUUAGGAAUUGAUAAAUCAGGCUGGAAGAGGAGUUUGGCUUUGAUCAUCCAAGAGGUAGUCUCGCAGUCCCAUGUGCAGAAGAAGCCUUCAUUGAACUUUCUUGUAGUUUGAAUAGCUUUCUGACAUUGACCUGACAUAUUUUCUCCCGCAUAUAAUAACGAAUAGUCAAAAUAUGCAAAGAUCGAAACAAACAUGCCACCAGAAAGGUGGACUAAAAACAGAUUUAUCUGUUAUGUUUUCCAUAUAUAUAUAUAUAUAGCAGCACAUACCAGAGACUUUGUGAGCUGUCAAGCUGAAUAUUGUCUUCAACCCUAUGGAACUAUUUGAUUGCAGCACGGCAUAGACAACAAACCUGGAUAAAAUGCAACAAGUUGGGUUCAGAUGAGGAGUUGUUGUAGCCUGUAGGACACACUUCAGGCGCUCUUCACAAGGGUUUGUCUUACAAGUUUUAUGUGAAGUCUGUAUGAAAUAGGAGGUCAAAGUCACCCAUGUUAUUUGUUCCCUAUCAUUGCAUGGCAGAUUGUAUGUCUCUAAAGGUUUCCUCUAUUGUCACUAGUGAAGUAAUAAAAAUCUUUACUAGGAAGAAGCUUUUAAUGGAUCCAAAUCUUCCAAAUCUGAGUAGGUCCUUAGUC